CAACAGCGAAAGGAGGUGAUCCAGUGUCUCAUUGUCAUACCCUACGGUCCCCGGUUGCCGUGACCUGGAUCUUGGCCUCUGCCGAGAUUAGUGCGUAACGCACAAACUGGCCGGCUUUAAGCGGGCCGUGGAACCGACAAUGGAAAGGCCGCCUCUCGGGGCGGCCUU
rnacentral:sRNA from 1 species